rnacentral:rRNA from 1 species
GACGAACGCUGGCGGCGUGCCUAAUACAUGCAAGUCGAACGCAGUGGGGACGGGUGCGUAACACGUGGGUAACCUCCCGUCAGAGGGGAUAACACUUGGAAACAGGUGCUAAACCGAUACUGAUGGAUGGACCCGCGGUGCAUUAGCUAGUUGGUGGGGUAACGGCUCACCAAGGCGACGAUGCAGAGCGGGCCGGAGAGGGUGAUCAGCCACACUGGAACUGAGACACGGCCCAGACUCCUACGGGAGGCAGCAGUAGGGAAUAUUCGACAAUGGGCGAAAGUCUGACCGAGCAACGCCGCGUGUGUGAAGAAGGUCUUCGGAUCGUAAAACUCUGUUGUUAAGGAAGCGGUAUCUAACCAGAAAGCCCCGGCUAACUACGUGCCAGCAGCCGCGGUAAUUC